rnacentral:rRNA from 1 species
GAUGAACGCUGGCGGCGUGCCUAAUACAUGCAAGUCGAGCGAACAGACGCGGAGCUUGCUCCUCUCACGUUAGCGGCGGACGGGUGAGUAACACGUGUAUCACCUCCCUAUCAUACUGGUAUAACCUCGGAACUCCGGAUAUAAUACCGUAUAAUCUCUUGCACCACAGGGGUCGAUGGUGAAAGUCGGCUUUUCUGUCUCUUAUAGCUGGUUCCGGGCCGCUUUGUCUAGUUGGGAAGGUAACGGCUUACCAAGGCAACCAUGCGUGGCCGACCUGAGAGGGUGAUCGGCCACACUGGAACUGAGACACGGUCCAGAGUACUACGGGAGGCAGCAGUGGGGAACCUUCGGCAAUGGGCGAAAGUUUGACGGAGCAACGCCGCGUGAGUGAUGAAGGUCUUCGGAGCGGAAAACUCGGUUAUUAGGGAAGAACAAAUGUGUAAGGAACUAUGCACGUAGUGACGGUACCUAAUCAGAAAGCCACGGCUAACUACGUG